GGAAAUUUGGCCUUCUCCCCACGGAAACACAUGAUGCCAAAUUAAUAAAACAAAGGCUGAAAACUCUCUCCGCCCACUUUCCCCAAAUUACACUCACGAAUGGACAAAAUUUCCUCACUGCCCAACUCACAGAAAUCUCCAUAUCCACCCAUUUCGAGUCUCGGAAGGGAGAAAGCAAGCUCCGGUCGGCAUGUGCUUGAAGAUCUCCGGCCGCAAGGAGCCCUAGCGCACUCGCACAUGCAAAUGAAUUUCACAAAUCUUGUGAAAACUCUCAUUUCCACCUAAUCUUAGUCUCGUCUGGUAAGCGUAUAAAUGCAUAAUGUUGAUUUAGAUUCCAUAUUUACAGAUCAGAUGUCUGUUGAUAAAAAAUCUGGAAAAAAAAAUCGUAUCUGUUUUAGUUAUAUUUAUCGUUCUCUCCAUAUACCUGUGAUUUUUUCUUUUUUUUUCCCUUGGAUUGAAGAUUUUACCAGUGCUCUGUUAUUUUUAUAUUUGAAAUGUUAAACGUAGAAGACCACAUUUGAAUUGGUAGCAAUCAAAUUUCUCUACACACGAGUUUGGAUUUUUGCUUCACUAUUGUGGAUCUAUGUAAUAGCUGCUGGGCGCAAUUAGAAGUUUCAUUAUCAUGUUUAGUUUUUCCAUUAUCUCCUGCCUCUCAAUUUUUAUUUUUUAUUUUUUGCCAUGUUGAGAUAAAUCGAAUUACAGGAGUUUGGUCUUUAUUGAAGUAAGAUUUGCUAGCAUUGAUAUUGGAUCUUUGGUGAAACAUAGUAUUUGGUUGAAUCUUUUUCUGGGGCCAAAACGUGUCUCCUAACUUAUUAAAUCCGGUGUGUCAUCUAGAUUGGUCCCCUCAAUGCCAUCAGGCAUUUCCUACAUAAAGACCAUGUGGACGUUUGUAACCAUUUUCGCACCAAUGUUUCAGUAUAAUCAGUGGAUAAUUAAUCUGAGUUUCACAUGUGCAUCAUAUAAAUUGGUGUUUGAUGAUGUUGGCUUAAGUUUGGAACCUGCCUCUCUAUUACAAUUUGCUGGUGUACCACUAGGAUCAUGAGAAACUGUGGUUGGAAUACUUAUAAAUUUCUUAUUGAUGCAUAAUAUUGUUUGCCAACAAAUUCCUUUGUGUUAUUUUCCUUCGAACAACAGUGUUUUCUAUUUGAGUUGAUGCUCUGUGAUAUGUUCGCAUCGCAAAAUGGGCUAUAAGAAUUGUGGAAUCUGUCACAGUUGUAGAGUUGAGGGGCAUUUCUUAGCUGACUGUCCAUGGAAACGCCAACGCCCAAAUUGGGAGCACAGAUUUGAGCAAAGUUUCAUGGUGGAGGAGACUAAAAAUAUAGGGCGAUUAUUUUUUUGCUACAGUAAGAAAUGUGGAUUUUGGAAAUGGGUUUUCAAAGAAAAUUAAAGCAGCCAAUUGUCUAGAGCUAGCGCUUCUUUGGUUAACUUUGCAACUAACGAAACAUCUGAACAAAUAUCACACAUGUUUCAAUCUCAAGUUUGCAUCUCUGUGAAAGAAGAUCUACAUAUUAUGGUGAACGUAAAGGUGUGCAAGAAAUUGCCAAAAUGAAUUGAGAAGGAAAGGGGUCGACCUGAUUGGUAGCUAUUAAUUGAAGUAAUAGUUAUUACAUAAUCUUUUGUACGAGGUCGGACUACUUUGAGCGAAGGAAUGUAAACUAUGUUUGUAAAUUACGUUAAUUUAUGAAAUGUUAUAUUUCAACUCUUUUUUUUAACAUCAAUUGUUACUUGUAAAUUACCUUUUAGAUUAUCCAUUUGUAGUUGGCUUCGUAGAUUCACGGCCAUCUUGUUUAUUGAACCUUCAACUAAAAAGUCUCAAAUAAAAAAAUCCAUCGUAUUUGCCUUUUUUGUAGUUCUUAGCAAGAACAGUUGGGUGUUUUUAGUCCUCCUGGGAUUCAUCACGUAUUACCAUAACAUCCCUUUGGGAAAAGAGGAAAGAAUAACCGUUACAAUUUAAAGACUUCAACUAUAUGGAACAUUUUUCUUGUAUGUGCAUGUAUAAUACUAGGCACUAUUGUAAUUUUCUUGUUAUAAAACAGAGAUAAUUCGACGGAAGAUAAGGCAAAUUCCGAAUGUGGAGAACCCAACACCAACCUCAUCACCAGCUUCAUGGCUAUGUACAACUAAGAGAGAACUUGAAAGCCAGCCUCAUCAAUCACUAGAUUAAGGUACAAACUUCAUGGCUCAGUAUGAUGACCACGGACAUUUGCCCGAUUUUUACACUUUGCAAGCUCCUUUUUACUUUAUAUCACAAAGC
rnacentral:lncRNA from 1 species